UACGGAGGGAGCUAGCGUUGUUCGGAAUUACUGGGCGUAAAGCGCGCGUAGGCGGCUUUGUAAGUUAGAGGUGAAAGCCGGGGCUCAACCCCGGGAACUGCCUUUAAUACUGCCAGUCUCGAGUCCGGAAGAGGUAAGUGGAACUCCUAGUGUAGAGGUGGAAUUCGUAGAUAUUAGGAAGAACACCAGUGGCGAAGGCGGCUUACUGGUCCGGUACUGACGCUGAGGUGCGAAAGCGUGGGGAGCAAACAGG
rnacentral:rRNA from 1 species